rfam:Brachypodium distachyon strain Bd21 chromosome 1, whole genome shotgun sequence.
CAUGUACUCCCACCGUCCAACAAAAGAUGUCUCAAGUUUGUCAAAAUUUGGAUGUAUCUAGACAUGACUUUAGAUGCAUUCAAAUUUGGUCAAAGUUGAGACAUCUUUUGUUGGACGGAGGGAGUACUUA